UACGAAGGGGGGCUAGCGUUGCUCGGAAUCACUGGGCGUAAAGCGCACGUAGGCGGCUUUUUAAGUCAGGGGUGAAAUCCUGGAGCUCAACUCCAGAACUGCCUUUGAUACUGAAGAUCUCGAGUCCGGGAGAGGUGAGUGGAACUGCGAGUGUAGGGGUGAAAUUCGUAGAUAUUCGCAAGAACACCAGUGGCGAAGGCGGCUCACUGGCCCGGUACUGACGCUGAGGCACGAAAGCGUGGGGAGCAAACAGG
rnacentral:rRNA from 1 species